AGAAGCAAGCACUAAAUCUACCCCCAUGACUUCCGAUAAAUGCUCAAUAGAAAAGUGUAUAUAUAAAAAAGAUCAACUAAAGUUGAAAAAUAGUAGAAAAGUGAAAAAAAUAAAGUACACUGACUAAAACGGAAAAGAUAUAAUGCAAAAAAAAAUUAGACAUAUAUUAAAAAAACCGUUAACAUUCACCAAAUGGUAUAGUUAGGAAAAGAGAUGAAAUAUCUGCAUACAGUAGCAAAAAAAUUACUAAGUUUAAGGCCUCCAGGCACGUACGAAAAAUGAUGCUGUGGGAGUGGCCACCCAGAAUCACCAGGGAAGAAGAAGAAAUGACACAGUUAAAAAUAAGAGAGUUUGGGAGCCAUAUUAAUUUAACAAAAAAAAAUUCCUGCCCUCGGAUAGAGCAAUAAAAGAAAAAAAAUAACACCAGACAAUUUAAUACCCUCCAAUCAGACACUGAUAAUUUAACAGUGUGAUUAGGAUGUUGAAAGCGAGAGUUGAUCCAGAUAGCUCUGGGCAUCCGACGGAGAGUCCGAUCAGACAUUCAGAUCCUCAAACGUGAGGGAUAUAGCAGAACUGGUUUUAAAUCCAUCUUGUAGAAUUCCUCCAUCACAGAUCUAUAACGAAGACGUUGGUCGCGAACCUGUUUACUAAAAUCCUCCACCUAUCGAAAGUGGAGAUCCGAGAAAUCAAUGUAGCCUUUAGGGCAAGCAAAACGAAGCAACUUUUCUUUGUCCUGAAAAUAAUGAAUUCAAUAAUAACAUGCCAAGGCUUGUCUGACUUAGAUGAAUACGAUGGAACUCUAUGAGCCCUGUCGAACAGUGGUGGUUGAUCAGGAAACACGGUGGAGAAAGAACCUUUUAAAAGUUGAGAGAAAAUCUUAAUAGGGUCUUCAGAUUCCACGCCUUCUUUUAGUCUGAUAAUUCUUAAAUUCUGACGACAUAUUCUGUAUUCUAAGUCAGAAUUUUUAAAGAAGCCGCCGGCCACUGCCACCGCGUGCUCUCCGCUACGUGCUGACGUCACCCGCCUUGAGGGGACGGGAACGCGCCACUCGCGGGUGCGAGCGCGGCGAGAUCGGGUGUCAAAUUCAGCCUGAGUCUCCUGGGUUCAUUGUUCAAACUUGGUGUGGAGGAUACCAUGGAUCACUGGAAAACUCCCAGAGAUCAAGCAAUUUUUUCACAGAAGAGGAGGUAAAAGCAGGUUCUGCUCAGCGUUUCCAAGUACCUCCCAGCCGUCAGUUAUAGUGGGAAGGCAGAAGACUUCCUGAAGCCCUCCUGUCAAACAAGGAAAGGAAAUGUCACAGUGUACUGGUUAACCAAUUCUGGAUUUUCCAUUUUUCACAACAAAGAAAAUAAAACAAUUGGAACACUGUCAGACUAUUGACUGGACAAUAAAAAUAAUCAUAUGCAUUAUAAAUUGUAACACUGAUGCUUCAAAUUAGA